UCAGGACACAGCCCAGCCGGCAGCUGCCAGAGUCACUGCCUAAAGGAGGUUUUGACCGAGGAGCAGCAGAGCCCUCUGAGGGCCCCUGUGCUUCUAAAAUGAACUUGAGUUACCUGGAAAUAAGAAGCUCAACAAUUGUAACAUUCUCGGGCUGCCAGCAACUCCAUGUCUGAAGCCCAGCCUGGAUCGAGCCCUGGAGAAGCCUCGAGGGUGGGCCGAGGUGGUGGCCCGUCCAGCCCUCCUGGACAGGCCCAGUGGCUGGGACAGAGGCCUCCGAGGUGCCGGGUGUGCCGGCCCCACGAUGGUGCACCUGCCGCCACCCCGGUGAGAUGGGCAUCACCCAGGGAGGCGCAGAGAAGCCGGCAGCGCAGCCAGGACUGACACGUAAUCCCGACACCUGGGCCAUCGGCAAGAACUGUCAGCCUACUUGACCUCUUUUUGUGACAAAUCAGAUCCUCCCCCAAGAACAGACCAGUGUCUGUCAGCAUCAACCCCCACAGACACCUCUGCUGGUGUGGCAGGUGACAUUGCCACAGUGGGGCCCUGAGUCAGGCGGCAAGUCUCUGUAACAAACAGCUCCAGGAGCAGUCAUGCUAGUGGGGGGCUCAGCCUGUGCAGGCCCUGGGACCUGGGUAAAGUCGAGGUGCAGCAUCAGAGUCCGGGGCCCCUGCACCCCAGGCCAAAGGUUGCCCUCAUCCCACAGAGCCUUCCGUUGCAGCUGGUUCAGGCCCCGGGGCCAGCCGGGCAUCUCGCCCUGAAAACCACAGGCUCCGUGCAGAGGGGAACCCGAGAGAGGCCUGCAGAUGCCACACAUGAUGCUGGUGUCACAUUGAAAUAGUUUCGGCAGGGGGCGGUGGCGCACGCCUGGAAUCCCAGCACUUAUGGAGGCCAAGGCAGGCGGAUCACCUGAGGCCAGGAGUUCAAGACCAGCCUGGCCAACAUGGUGAAACCCCAUCUCUACUAAAAAUAUAAAAAUCAGCUGGGCGUGGUGGUGCACGCCUGUAAUCCCAGCUACUCUGGAGGCUGAGGCAGGAAAAUAGCUUGAGCAUGGGAGGCAGAGGUUGCAGUGAGCUGAGAUCACACCACUGCACUCCAGCCUGGGUGAAGAGUGAGACUCUGUCUCAAAAAAAAUAAAAAGAAAAAAAAGAAAUAGUUUGACCCCAGAGUCAUUCUGGCACAACCUAAAAAGCCGACUCUUUAACAUUUGAGCUUUUAAAAAUACCAAAUAACCUGGGAAAGUGACACGCUGUCCCUGUGGCCAUGGGGCCAUGUGAAGGGUGACGUGUCUUGCGCAGAUGCCCUGUGUGCGGCCCUCACUGAAGCUGCAGGGUCUGCUGCCGCUCACAGCUCUGGACUCCAGACGUCUGCCUCUCGGGACACUUGGGACUCGAUUCCACAGCUCCAGAAAACCCAGGAAACCCGAAGGCGACCUCAACACCGUUCGUUCUCUCAGUAGCAUACGUGAUAAAUGAAGUAAAAACUCCUUUAAAGCGAGGGUUUGGGGAAACAGAACUGUUGUGUCUCAGACGGCGUUAACCAAGUUGCAAUCAUUUUACAAUUGGGAAACUUUCUAAGAAAACUAUCUACACAUCUGCUUACAAAUCAAAGCCAGAGUGUUUUCUACCGUCAGGAAACUGGGAGAGGCUCAGGAAUGAGGGGGAGGCAGUCAAGAAAUCGCUAAUUAAAACCAGCGCUUUCCCACCCUUCUGGCUGGGAGGGGGCCGGGAAAGACGAGGAAGUGGAAGAGGUCAGGAGAAGGCAGUGAGUGAACAGAUUACUGUCCCAGUCUCCACCUUUGUGUUUAUGUUUGUACUUUUCCAUGAUAAAAGCUUUGUUCUGAACAUCGGCCUCCCCCGGGCUGUGCAGAGCUCCACGGCCCCGGCUACCCCAGUGGCUCCAGUGGCCGACAGGGUUGAUUCUACUCACCUGAGCAGGUGUGUCAGGCCUCUGAGCCGAAGCUCAGCCAUUGUAACCCCUGUGACCUGCACAUGUAUGUCCAGAUGGCCUGCAAGAGCCAAGAAGUCUGGGGCAACCCAAAUCUACAAAAGAAUGAAACAGCCAGCUCCUGUCUUAACUGAUUGACCAACCUUACGACAUUCCAUGAUGACCUGUUCCUGCCCUGUCCCACCUGAUCGAUCGACCUCGUGACAUUCUUCUUCCGGACAAUGAGUCUUAUGAUCUCCCCACCAUGUACCUUGUGACCCCCUCCUCUGCUGACAAUAGGUAACCACCUUUCACUGUAACUUUCCACUGUUUACCCCAGUCCUAUAAAACGGCCCCACCCCUACCUCUCUUUGCUGACUCUUUUCGGACUCAGCCCACUUGCACCCAAGUGAAUAAACAGCCUUGUUGCUCACACAAAGCCUGUUGGUGUCUCUUCACAUGGACGCACGUGACACAAAGUGCUGGGGUUACAGGCGUGAGCUGCCACGCCCGGCCCUCUUUGCUCUUUCGUACGAAUUUUAUUUUUUAUUUUUAUUUUUUUUCUUGAGACAGAGUCUUGCUCUGUCGCCCAGGCUGGAGUGCAGUGGCGCGAUCUCGGCUCACUGCAAGCUCCGCCUCCCGGGUUCACGCCAGUCUCCUGCCUCAGUUACCUGAGUAGCUGGGACUACAGGCGCCCGUCACCACACCUGGCUAAUUUUUUGUAUUUUUUUAGUGGAGACGGGGUUUCACCGUGUUAGCCAGGAUGGUCUUGAUCUCCUGACCUCGUGAUCCGCCCGCCUCGGCCUCCCACAGUGCUGGGAUUUACAGGCGGGAGCCACCACACCGGCCUUCGUAUGAAUUUUAGAACCAGUUUUUCCAAUUUCAUGAAAAAUUAUCUUAGGAAUUAUAUUAAUUUCGGGAAAACAGUUAUCUUUGGGUCCCACGUAAACACAGGGAGUGGGAAACAGUCGUGUGGCAUCUGUGGCACAGAACACAGAGACCAGGCCCCGGCGGCUCUGCCAAGCGAGGCUUCGUCCCGGAGACUCGGCGUGUGGCCUCCGGGUCACAGAAACGGCCUUCGUAGCUGUUUGAUGUCACACCAACGAGACUUCAUUCGUGUUAGCAGAACUUUGGGGACGACGUGACCCUGCGUGACAGCCGGGAACACGGGAGCCAGAUGUGGGGACAGCGGCGAGCUGGCACCCCGGAUGGAAAGCCGGACAGAAAGGCGGACAGAGCUGCAGCCACGACCAGGAGUAGCAGCAGGUCCUCGGACGAGAGGCAGCCCCCGUUCCCGGACCAAACUGAGGGUCGGGCCCCAUAACGAGACGCAGCUGAACUGGGGAGGAAGCACGUGUUUAUUUCCCCAACCGGUUACAGGGAGAAGGCCUGGACAUUAUCUCCAGACCAACUCAAAAUUACAGUCCUCCAGAGCUUAUCUACCUUCCACACGCUACGUCUACGUCUACAUAGUCUGAAGGAUCCACAGGAGCACAAUAAAGGAAGAGCCACCUGGGGCUGAGGAAGAAUCAAGACUCUUGCCACCUGUGAUGUGGAGUGCUCCGUCUCUGAAAGCUUCACUAAGGCGGUGGCAUGUCACAGCUCCAUGAUACAGAGCAGGGCUGCCCCGGAGAAGUGUGCGGAGAGCAGCAGCUCAGGGCAGGGCAGCCGUCACAUUUAUACCCACUUUUAACUACAUGCAAAUUAAGAGGUGGGGCAUUCAGAAUUUCCUAGAAAAGGGGUGGUACUUCUGGGUCAUUGCCAUGGAAAGGGGCAGUAACAUCUGGGUGUUGGCAUGGCAAUGGUAAAGUGUCACAAACUCAUGGGCCUAUAGGAGCCAGCUGGCUGCAGGUGGCUGUUCUGACAGACUGGAACCUGCUUACCUGGCUAACCCUUGUCGCCUGAUAGGUCAUCCAAGGAGAGAACUUGAACCAAAAUUUGGGUAAAGCAAUCUCUGUGGCAGUUUGGUUUUAUAAAACAAGACAAAACGAAACAAAAAAAAUUGUUUUACCCUCUUUCUCUUUAGUUUCAAAUGAGUUUCCAACGUUUACAUUCUAGUUAGACCGUAAAUAACGAGUCUUCGCACCAGCAGCUUAGUAACAGCAGGUUUAAAGCAAGAAAGAAAAGAGAGGACCAGAGAGCACCUUAGAACACUGCUUAACCACAGCACAGGUUCACCACUGGAGGUCUGAAUUUUCCUCGCUGUCAUUUGCCCGUCAGCUUAAAACAUGCACAAUGGGCUGUAAUAUGUAACCAGCUGGAGUCCCUAAGAGGACGACAAAAUCAGGGGCCGGGAUGUUGGAAACUGUUUUUCCCUUUUUGGGCUGGGCCCCUGGAUUGAACAGGAAAAUAGAAAAGAAAGGAAAGCGGAGGAGAAAGGUUUGCAGCAGGGAGGAGAAACAAGAAAGGAAGGAGGGAGGCUGGCGAGCCUCCAGCCACUGCGUGGUGCGGGGCCAGCACCCCCUCACCCUUGAUCAUCUCCCAUCAGGGAAAGCCUCCGCACCCCAGACCUGCGCGGUGUGGGAUGAAUCCCUCCCACCUCCGCAGAUCACCUGUCAAGGUCAGCUGUUCGCAGCCACAGGGAGCUAAGGGUGCUUUUGACCAAGAGGAAUAACGCUUUGGUGGCGGACGGGAGGAGGACGUUGGAGGAAGGAGAGAGAGGUCAGGGUGCACACACUCAUGCGCACAAACCAACAGCUGCGUCCAAAAAACCUCCUUUAAGGGGCUCGGUUUCAAACGGCCCCUCGGGCGACUGAACCCGCACUGAGCAGAGGCCCUAGGGUGCCACAAACACAAACGAAUUCAAAUGUAUCAAAUGCCCAACUGGUGUCACUCACAGCCAAGUCUAAACAGAGGAGGGCCUCAGCCACACCCCAAAGAGGCAGAGGGUCCCUGGGUGAACUCCAACUAAGGCACCCAGUUCCAAAGUUUAUUAACUUCUCCAAAGGUCACUUCCUUUGCACCAGCAAAGCGUUGAAGGCAGCAGGAAGAGAAGGACAGGAUUCCCGGACGAAAGCAUCUCGGCGGCCACGGGGCAGCUCCUCCCAUUCCAGCCACAGGCGCAGCAGCCAGGAGCAGCUGGAACUCACAGAGUCAAAGAAACUUGAACUGUUCACGGCCUUUAAUAAUUGAGCAAGGUACUCUCCUGUGAACAAAAUUUGGAGCAUGUUUGUUUCUCUCCCUGGUUCCUCUAGAAUUUGGAAACUAUUUGUGAGUACUCUUAUGGUGAUACAGUUGGUUGCAUCAGUGCAAUAAGAAUCCAUUUUUCUUGGCCAGGCGUGGUGGCUCAUGCCUGUAAUCCCAGCACUUUGGGAAGCCGAGGCGGGCAGAUCACAAGGUCAGGAGAUUGAGACCAUCCUGGCUAACACGGUGAAACCCCGUCUCUACUAAAAAUACAAAAAAUUAGCCGGGCGUGGUGGCGGGCGCCUGUAGUUCCAGCGACUCGGGAGGCUGAGGCAAGAGAAUGGUGUGAACCCAGGAAGUGGAGGUUGCAGUGAGCCGAGAUCACGCCACUGCACUCCAGCCUGGGUGACAGAGCCAGACUCUGUCUCAAAAAAAAAAAAAAAAAAUCUCGGAUACGCUGAACAAAGACAACUAUCAUUCCCAUGCCCUCGGAGAGGGAUUUAACCGAGACAGGAGAUGGGGAGGCAGGUGCGGGACAAUCUCAUCCUAGAAAGACCGUCAGGGGGAAGCUCUUCUGGGCAGCGGCUCCUCAGGGAAGUUCUGCUGCCGCAUUCUGAUGUUACAGAAAUGCUUCCUCGCCCUUCCUGGGAGGUGGUCUAAUGCCACCCCAAACCUCCAUCACUGACAGCCUCUCAGCAUGGGGGAACUGGGUGUGAGGAAGCUGGGGAGGGCACUGGGGGAGGGUACAGGGGAAGAGGCACAGAGGGAGGACACGGGAAGAGGGUGUGGGGGAAGGACAUGGGGGGAGGGCACAGGGGAA
rnacentral:lncRNA from 1 species